rnacentral:rRNA from 1 species
UAGGGAAUCUUCGGCAAUGGACGAAAGUCGGACCGAGCAACGCCGCGUGAGUGAAGAAGGUUUUCGGAUCGUAAAACUCUGUUGUUAGAGAAGAACGACGAGGAGAGUGGAAAGCUCCUCGCGUGACGGUAUCUAACCAGAAAGGGACGGCUAACUACGUGCCA